UAUUCCAAAAAGAUCAUAGGUGUGAAGUAAAUCAAACUCAGGGAAGAUGUAUCUCCAGCUGUUGAUCAUUGAGAUGAUACUUUUGGUCAUAAUUCUUCCUACAUAU
rnacentral:ncRNA from 1 species